rnacentral:rRNA from 1 species
CUUAAGUGGGGAAUAACGCAUCGAAAGGUGUGCUAAUAUCGCAUAAUCUCUGAGGAGAAAAGCAGGGGAUCGCAAGACCUUGCGCUUUUGGAGCGGCCGAUGUCUGAUUAGCUUGUUGGUAAGGUAAAAGCUUACCAAGGCUUCGAUCAGUAGCUGGUCUGAGAGGACGACCAGUCACACUGGGACUGAGUCACGGCCCAGACUCCUACGGGAGGCAGCAGUGGGGAAUUUUGGACAAUGGGGGCAACCCUGAUCCAGCCAUGCCGCGUGAGUGAAGAAGGCCUUCGGGUUGUAAAGCUCUUUCAGCCGGAACGAAACGGUUACGGUUAAUACCCGUGACUACUGACGGUACCGGAAGAAGAAGCACCGGCUAACUACGUGCCAGCAGCCGCGGUAAUACGUAGGGUGCGAGCGUUAAUCGGAAUUACUGGGCGUAAAGCGUGCGCAGGUGGUUUUGUAAGUCAGAUGUGAAAUCCCCGGGCUCAACCUGGGAACUGCGUUUGAAACUACAAGGCUAGAGUGUGGCAGAGGGGGGUGGAAUUCCGCGUGUAGCAGUGAAAUGCGUAGAGAUGUGGAGGAACACCGAUGGCGAAGGCAGCCCCCUGGGUCAACACUGACGCUCAGGCACGAAAGCAUGGGGAGCAAACAGGAUUAGAUACCCUGGUAGUCCAUGCCCUAAACGAUGUCAACUAGUUGUCGGGCCUUAACGGGCUUGGUAACGUAGCUAACGCGUGAAGUUGACCGCCUGGGGAGUACGAUCGCAAGAUUAAAACUCAAAGGAAUUGACGGGGACCCGCACAAGCGGUGGAUUAUGUGGAUUUAUUCGAUGCAACGCGAAAAACCUUACCUACCCUUGACAUGUAUCGAAGCCCGCAGAAAAGCGGGGGUGCCCGAAAGGGAACGAUAACACAGGUGCUGCAUGGCUGUCGUCAGCUCGUGUCGUGAGAUGUUGGGUUAAGUCCCGCAACGAGCGCAACCCUUGUCAUUAAUUGCCAUCAUUUAGUUGGGCACUUUAAUGAGACUGCCGGUGACAAACCGGAGGAAGGUGGGGAUGACGUCAAGUCCUCAUGGCCCUUAUGGGUAGGGCUUCACACGUAA